AUGCUCUUCAACCCCACUGGUUCCCAACCACCUGUCGCUAGCACAAACAUCUGUAUUUGUACUAGUACGAUUGGGAGAAAGGAGGUUUGGAGAAAAAUUCAAAAUUACUCACUCAACUACUACAUCUACCCACCAAUCGACAUUUGAAAUGCGACAAAACGAGCCGCCAGGAAUGCCACGUGGCACAAAGACGCUGGCAUGGUUUAUGGAUCGUACGGGCAUUUUUGAGAAGCAGCAGCAGCAAAUGAUGCAAGUUAGGCGGAAUUCAUCGUCUGAUGACUCAAAAUCGACAACACCAUCGGCUCAGCAACAAUUUCAACAACAACAGCAACAGCAGCAAAAAAAGCAAAAACGAUAUCGAAAAACGUUGAGUCAACAGGGAACCACACGGAAAGAAGCAUUCGGUGGAAGUCAGGCUAUGAGUGAAAGUUCAGAAGAAGGCACAGCUAUUAUUUCCACUGCUCUGACGUCAUCAGGAGCCCCAAGCUGUGCCACACCAGGAAUUUCAGCCGCCACUACUACAGCUAACGGCAAUAAUAAUGAGGAAUAUUGGUUCUAUGACGUUGCAACUGAUGGAUAUUAUUACGAACAAAAUGGUGCAAAAGGAUGGAGGAGAAGGCAACCGAAUCAGGCGGUACAUAAAAGUGCUGGAAAAGAUUCGGAAGUAGCUCAUAUGAACGUGAAUGGACCCUCAAAAUACAACCAAUUGCUCGCCGCCCAGGCCGCCGCCGCUCAGGCCGCCUUCCUUCAACAGGCCUUCCAACUUCAGGCUCAACAGCAGGCUUCUCAGGCCCCACAAGGAGCCCACGCACCACCACCACCACAACAGCAGCAGCAGCCAACAAUGCGAUAUUAUGAUGCAAAUUCGGAUGGAUUCUUUUAUGAAAUGGCAUCAGUUGACGGGUGGAAGCGUCGGCAACCGAAUAAGCCUGUUUCAGCAUCGGUCCCCGCUGGAAUUACACGUCCUUAUAGCCAGAGGCCUGCUGCACAGCAAAUUCCACAAGAAGUUGCUGCUCCAUAUCAUCCAUCUACUGCUGCUCCAACAUCUGGAGCAUCCUCAUACGGAGCCGCCCUGGCACGUGGCCAAUUCCCCCGUAACACUGUUAAACACGACGAAAAAUGUGCACAAAAUGCUCAGCAGCAGCAGCCACGUGGUGAUUCUACGUCAUCAAGUCAGUGCGGGGACACAUUUGCCGAGCUCUUCAGCUCAUCGGAUCCCGUCUACAUUCCACGCCCGAGUGCUCUGAAUUUGGAGCAAAAAGCUGUGUCGCCGUCGGAAAACUCGACGGCAGCACUGUUUGACGCGGUUUUGGCCGAUUUUGGAGGCUUUAAGGCAACAUCAGCAAAUCUCAAUCCACUUCUACCAGGAAUAUCAUCAUCGCAAAGUCCGAUGAAAGGAGAAUCAUGGAAUUCGUUCCGAAGUUGCUCACUUUUCAGUCCAAUUAAGCCGUCGAAACGGGCUCCUCUGAGCUCCAACGGUCUACAGACACAGGCUUCUGCUGCUGCUAUGGAAGAUUUCGAUGAUGAUUCGACGAUGAAAAUGUUGAUUCAAGAUUUGGAUAAACUGUGGGCAAAUAGUCCGGUUUCAGGCCUAAAUCAGGCUUAA
rnacentral:misc_RNA from 1 species